GCCCGUUUAGCUCAGUGGUAGAGCGCGCCACUCGUACCUGCGUAAUGGUGAGGUCGGUUGUUCAAUCCAGCCAAUGGGCA
rnacentral:tRNA from 1 species